rnacentral:lncRNA from 13 species
AUGCAGGUGCAUAUACACAGGUGGGCCACCCACGUGAAACUAUCACAGCACCAGAGAAAGGCCACCAUCUCCAGUACAAGGCAGGAGCUAGAGACCAUUUCCACUGUUCCAGCCCACUGUUCCUGGGUCAUUGCUACAGUUCAGCUUGUCGCCUGGAGUGGUACCGAGACCAGCUGCUCCCUGUGAGUUUUGCACAGGGAGCCUCUUCUAUCUUUAUCCGCGCCCGAGCUCCCACCACCACCUCAGGAGGCUCCCGAGCCCACGUCUGAGUGCCCCUGAGGCCAUGGGGGAAUUAUCGCAGCUCCUCUGCCUCACUGGGAGCCAACAGCAGCCCCUGAAUCUGUGGGGGAGUCACUGCAGCCUCUCUGCCUCGCCAGGAGCCAGCAGCGCACCCUGCCUGCCAGUUGUAACUACAUCAAAAGGGAAAAAAUUCACUUAACGGGUUGGAGGAAUCCUGUUACUGUUUCUCUGUUUUGUUGUUGUUUGCGGUUUGCUCUGUUUCUAUAUAUAUGUAUGUGUGUAUAUAUAUAUAUAUAUAUAUACACACACAAAUAUAUUUUCUAGUAAAUAACUGUUACUCCUUUUGGAAGGAUUAAUUUUGUUAUUCCUUUCAGGCAAAUAUCUUUGCCUGAAAGCCCCAUAAUUUCAAAGUUAUAAUAAUUUGGAGGGAGGGGUAAUCUUUUCCAUUCCAGGAAGGUUCCUGCCUUUCUUGGAAGACACCUGUCUUUUAAACUAGGACAGGUGCCCACCAGUACCCUCAAGCAAGAGCUGGCUGAAUAGACUGCACAGCAGGAGGUGGCAGAUGGGCAUGAGGCAGUGCCUGAUCCAGGCAGCUCACUGCAAUGAUGCUAGAGAGCUACUCAGCUUACCAGUCUCACAUAAUUUUGGGCAGAUGGCAGUGUUCAGGAAGAAAACACAGCCUUCAAAUGUCUUGCAAGUGUUCUGGAUUUGAAGAUAAAAGUUAAAUCACCUUAUCUCAAGUGAGUUCACUGUUACCAAACAGCCCUCCUCAUCUCUGCAGAGACCAGCUGGGAAGUUCCUAACCUGCCCAAGGUAUCAGUCAUUAAUUACACUUGGACAAUAUACAGGCACAGCCCUGACAAAAUUGUAAUUUUAGUAGAAGCUUGAAUUUCAUCCUGAUAUCAAAAUUAUUAUGUAAAGAGCACUGAUUUUGCCACACUAGGAAUGCUAGGCUUCUUAUAGAAUGGUGACAAGUCAUAGAAGAAGACACUCACUCAAACUUUGGUAGAGAAAAGUUUGCUACAUGCACUAACCUCUUCACAUACUGAUGAUAAAACCAGAAUAGCCAAUAGAAAAAUAUAUAUUUAGGACAAGAUUCCAAAUAGACCUCAUUAAUUCAUUACCUACAGGCAAGAAGAGGAAUAAAUAUUUUAAGGUGAUAGUAGAUCUUUCAUAAAGGCAUUUGCUGUUAAAAACAGUUCUACAGAGAUGAAAACUUGUCCAGAGUUCAGUAGUGCAUCCUUCUGGUGUAAAAACCUUAUAUUAAAGAGGUCUCCUACUAUGAGAAGUAUAUUUAAGAAAUAAUUUUAGUAACUAAAAAAUUAUUUUACACAUCUGGACACUCCAUAAGCUCACAGCAACUACAGAGGGUUAAUCAGAUAUAAGAGUUAAUAAAACACAAGGAGAAUGGGAUGAAAAAUUCUCCAUCAUUGUAAUGAUUCAGUGCUUUCUUCCUGCUCCACCUGGAUAGUUUUUUCAUGUAGCAAUGACAACCUCAACAGUGGUGGGUUGACACUGAAAUACCAAUUAAUGACCAGUUGGAAUAUAAACAAGGCUGGUGUUUGCAUACAUGAUAGUACUGUGUUUAGAUUUGAGUGUUGCCAUUAAGACUCCAAAUCCUGCUGCAGCCCACUAGACAAAGAUGUAAGUGAAGACUCAACUUGAUGCCUGACCCUAAUGGAGUCAAUGGCGUUAAUGAUCUAAAGAAAUUAAAUUGUCAAAGAGGAGAACUGUAGCUCAUAGCCCAGACUUUUGAGAUUCAUUUAACUGUGGCCUGAGACUUGUCUUGACCUUGUCAAGACCUUGGAAGGACCUUAGCAAAUCCAAGAGACCUUGACUUGACUUUGGUAAAAAAAAAUUCUUGUAAAUGGAGGAUAAAAUAAGGUCAGCAAAAUAAGCAAAUGGGGGAGAAAAUCAAGGAAUUGUAUAAUCAGAAAUAGUCACUCAAGGACUCAAAAAUAACAAGGAAAGUUAUAAAACCUUCAGAGAAAAGAAGAGGGUCAGAAGUGGGACACCUAGUAAGAUCAAGAAUUGUCCCUGUCUGAGACAACGGUGAGCUGCACCUCCCUGCCAGACUAACAACUGCCUGGCCAACAUGGACUCACCUCAUACCUGCAUGGAGCUGGUGAGCACAUUAAUGUUUAGUCCAAUAGCAUGUUACUCUCAGCUAUCCACUCUGCAUCUUAUCCAGUACAAAGUCAAUAACCACAUGAUCAUAUACUGUGUACAAUCUUACUGUAGGGUGUCUACACACUAUUAAAGAUGUCCAUUAAAAUUACCUGAAGAGCUGAGGUUUCCUGUUGUGGAUAAGCAAAACCAUACAAAAUGAGGGCCUUGUUACCCUUGUACAAUCAUGGCUCACUCCUGUUACUUCGGCUAAGUAGAAAAGGAUUCUGGGAAUGACUCAGCUGAAUUAGAGGUAGAAAACAAGUUACAUAACCAUGGAAAAAAAGUUAUAUGGCCAUCCCGUGUUCACAUCAUGGUUUAUGGUGGUUGGUUGAAUUAUGUUUGUUGUGCUUUACAAGAAUGUAACUGAUAAAGGGCUAAUUGGUUAAAAAGGGCUGAGUUUUGCAAUAAAGCGAUUCCUCUUUGUACC